ensembl:lncRNA
CUUCCAAGCACACAGUGGCUUAUUUGCAUGAAUUAACUGGGAAACAUAAGCAAAGUGAGUCCAACAGAGAAAUGAAAAAGCAAAAGAAAAGAGGAGCCAUAAGAAUCAGCUCUCCUUGUGAAAGAUCCACCUUGUACAAUUAAAAAAGAGGGACGCUGCUGUUUGAAGACAGGUCCACUGCAGUGUCUGGAGACCCAGGCAAUGCUCACUGCUGCUUUGUCCUUGUCCUGUACUCUCUGUGACCUGUGUGAGAGGAAAGGGAGCUGAAACCAGUAGAGCAGGAUUAUGCUGUACAGCAAUUCCAAGGAAGAGGGAGUUCCCAGUGGGGCCAUGAAGCUGUUUGGUUCUUCCAGAGCUGCACAAAUUCUGGAUGAAAAGCCAUGAUCCCAUGAGAUGUCUUAUUGAAUGAGAAAGUAUGUUGGACUGCACUUGAGCCAAAACCAAUAUAUUCCAAAACAAUGUGCUGUUCUGUGUGCCUCUCAAAUGUCUUUGGAAUUCUUCUAAUUCAGAAUUCUUUUGGCCUCUUCAGCUUCAGUGCAAGUUAAUC